AAUUUUUUUCUCGGUUCGUUCGUUGUUCCACGACUGUUGUUAGUGUGCGUAGCGUUUUCGUGGAAGGACUUUCGUUCUCUGUGGGCUGUGUAACGCUUAUGGGUUUUGUAGGCUAAUGAGAAAGUGUCCUUUCUUCCAUCGGAAGGAUAUUGAAUUAGCCUGGUAACGGUGUAACGAGGAAAACGGCAUACUAAUGCGCAUCCAAAGGAGAAUGGAAUAGACGCAGAUAAAUAUUCAGGAAGUUCGGGGCUUCCAUAUAUUCAUGACCAACGUCUUGAACAAAAAAGAAUUGCAUUUGCAUUUGAAAAACCGAACUAUUUGUGGACUAGGUUAAAAAUGAACUGGCAGAUAAAAUGGCGAAAGA